rnacentral:misc_RNA from 1 species
UACGAAGGGGGCUAGCGUUGUUCGGAAUUACUGGGCGUAAAGCGCGCGCAGGCGGCCAUCCAAGUCAGGGGUGAAAGCCCGGAGCUCAACUCCGGAACUGCCCUUGAAACUGUUUGGCUUGAGUACGGGAGAGGUGAGUGGAAUUCCCAGUGUAGAGGCGAAAUUCGUAGAUAUUGGGAAGAACACAGGUGGCGAAGGCGGCUCACUGGCCCGUUUCUGACGCUCAUGCGCGACAGCGUGGGGAUCAAACAGG